GACGAACCGAGCGAACGUUGUUCGGAAUCACUGGGCUUAAAGGGCGCGUAGGCGGGCCGCCGCGUCCGGGGUGAAAUCCUCCCGCUCAACGGGAGAACGGCCUCGGAUACGGGCGGCCUGGAGGGGGGGGGUAGGGGCGUGCGGAACUGUGGGUGGAGCGGUGAAAUGCGUUGAUAUCCACAGGAACUCCGGUGGCGAAGGCGGCACGCUGGACCCCACCUGACGCUGAGGCGCGAAAGCCAGGGGAGCGAACGGG
rnacentral:rRNA from 1 species